GAGGAGUUUGAUCCUGGCUCAGGAUGAACGCUGGCGGCGUGCCUAAUACAUGCAAGUCGAGCGAACAGAUAAGGAGCUUGCUCCUUUGACGUUAGCGGCGGACGGGUGAGUAACACGUGGGUAACCUACCUAUAAGACUGGAAUAACUCCGGGAAACCGGGGCUAAUGCCGGAUAACAUAUAGAACCGCAUGGUUCUAUAGUGAAAGAUGGUUUUGCUAUCACUUAUAGAUGGACCCGCGCCGUAUUAGCUAGUUGGUAAGGUAAUGGCUUACCAAGGCGACGAUACGUAGCCGACCUGAGAGGGUGAUCGGCCACACUGGAACUGAGACACGGUCCAGACUCCUACGGGAGGCAGCAGUAGGGAAUCUUCCGCAAUGGGCGAAAGCCUGACGGAGCAACGCCGCGUGAGUGAUGAAGGGUUUCGGCUCGUAAAACUCUGUUAUUAGGGAAGAACAUAUGUGUAAGUAACUGUGCACAUCUUGAC
rnacentral:rRNA from 1 species